GGGGUAUUAGCUCAGUUGGCUAGAGCGCUUGCAUGGCAUGCAAGAGGUCAUCGGUUCGACUCCGAUAUGCUCCACGA
rnacentral:tRNA from 7 species